rnacentral:rRNA from 1 species
UCGAGAAUCUUGGGCAAUGCGCGAAAGCGUGACCCAGCAAUGCCGCGUGCGGGAUGAAGGUCUUCGGAUUGUAAACCGCUGUCACUCGGGACGAACAAAAUGACGGUACCGAGGGAGGAAGCCACGGCUAACUACGUGCCAGCAGCCGCGGUAAUACGUAGGUGGCGAGCGUUGUUCGGAUUUAUUGGGCGUAAAGGGUCCGCAGGAGGUUUGUUAAAAUUGGGGUGAAAUCCCGGAGCUCAACUCCGGAACUGCCUUGAUGACUGACGAACUAGAGUGCUGGAGAGGUAAGCGGAAUACCAGGUGUAGCGGUGGAAUGCGUAGAUAUCUGGUAGAACACCGAAAGCGAAGGCAGCUUACUGGACAGCAACUGACUCUCAGGGACGAAAGCGUGGGGAGC